AGAGAAAAAAAUAUCCUAAAAAACAAAACGGCUGAAACUUUUAAAUUACACUGAUUCCCAACAUUUGCUUGGAUAAAAAUUUCUUAAAAUUCUACUUAGUUUGGAUUUUCUAAUCCCCUCAAUUAGGUAGAACCCAUAAAAACUUCAAAUCUUGCACCUGGGUUGAAGAUGGUUUGAUUUUGGGAUUUUUAAAAGUUGAUUUUGAGCUGCUGUGGGGUUUUACAGUUUCAUUGAUAUUGCUGGUUUCUAGUUCUGCUGCUGUCUAUUGCUUCCUCACUUCUUUUUCCUUUUGAUUUCCAGGUAAAUGUUCUUGAAACUUGUAUAAUGUGAGACUUGACUUGAAGAUUGAAAUGAAAAGUGAAAGUUUUGAAGCUUAGCAUUAAUUUUUUUGUUCAUAGUUUAGCUCAUCUUUGUUUUCAUCUUGUCUGAAUCCUUUGAUUUUGAAAAUCUUUUCUUCUGUUUCUACCACCCUUUUGACAUCUAAUGUUGAGCCUUGUAUUACAUUUGUUCCUUUGGGUUUCUUCUUUUGAUAAUCAUGCACUGUGAAGGUUGAAGCUAGACCUCUAAAAGUCUUAAUAUCAUGCUGGCUUUAGGUUUUAAGGAAGUUUAUGCAACAGUUACAUGUUUACUUGUAGUUUUCUUUUUCUGCUUUCAUGUGUUAAAGGAACAAAUCAAUGUGGUUGAGAAUCUUAAUGGGGUUUUGAGGUCCAUAUAAUUUGUAUGAUAGCUCUCUGGGAUAUUGGUAAUAUUAAGAAGAAUUUGUUUGAAUUUAAGUUUGUAAAGAAAUAGUUAGUGUAGAACUCAUGUGAAGAUAAUAGAAAGACAAAAAUGGUCAAGACUGCUUUAAGAGUAUAAGCAUGUUACUGAUGUAGUGUUGUCUUUGCAUGAGCAUAUUAAGUUAGAAUUGGUGUUUGAAUUUCUGAUUGAUUAUCUAGUUAAUUUGUGCUUGAAUGAUUAAAAUUCAGAAGUAAUUUGUUAAUUCAAUGGCAUGUUUCGUCAGUUUCGAUUGGGUUUGCAUUUUACUGAUUAUAUACCAACGCUCAAACUCUGAAAUUUGGUCUUAAGUUGGCCCAUCAAACGAAUGUCCCCUCCCUUUGACUCGUUAUGCAUGUUUUGUGUCCUUGACAUCCAUUCAUUUGGGAAUUGGGCUCAUCUUUGGCCCAACUCAUAAAACAUUGGCAAAUGGAUUCGUACGUUCUUGUAUUGUUGGGCCUGCCCCUUUUACUGUCCCUUCUGAAUGGUUUUGAGAGCCUAAAGCGUCUCUCUUCUUUCAGAUGAUCGGCCAUGUUGCUCUUAAAAGCAUUGUUCCCCUUAAUUAGUUUGGAUAUUAGCAGAAAAGUAGAAUUCAACUUCUUUUAAUAUUUAUUAAUUAGAUCCUUUCAAUUAGUUGAGGUAUGCCGUACCAAAUAAAAUCUCAAAAAUGCAUGACCCUAGUUUAAUUAAUUUAAAUCCUUUAGAAACCGAGGUGUACCAUUAAGUUAAAUUUUCCACGACCCUCGCAAAGUUGAAAUACGUAGUUGCUUUAGGCACGUUAUUUUAAACAAUUACCUUCCAAAACUCGGGUGUGCAUUUCAUGUGAUCCAAAUCCAAAUCUAAAUAAUGUUAAAUAAAAUAUGUCUCCGACUCCGGGUGCAUUUAAUGUGGCAUGGUCCAAAUACGUAUUUUAUAUAAUGUUGAAUCUUCCUAAAUUAUUUAAAAGCGGUUAAUAAGUUUAAAUAUACCAUAGGCUAAAACAUGUAUUAAAAUCAGAUAAUAGGCCACUUGUAAUAACUUCAGCGACCUUGCUAGAACCACGGAAUCCGGGUGGGGGGGGGGAGGGGGGGGGCCUAACACCUUUCCUCGGGUUAAGAGAAGUUCUUAUUUGAAAUUUCUGGUUCACAGACUUCCGCGAUUUGUUAUUUAAAAUAAACCGGUGACUUGGGACACCAGAAAAUAAACUAUCCCAAGUGGCAACUCUGAAUAAAAAUGAAUAAAUAAUUCCAUGUCGAAUAAUGUCACUUAAAUUGGAAAAACUCCCUUACACUACCUUCGGGGUGUGUAAAAAGGAGGUUUAACUGCUCUGGCGACUCUGCUGGGGAUCGAAACUCAGAACUUUGGUUUAGUAUUUAAGAAUUCUAGCUUAGAAUAUCUAUUAUGAUUGGAUUUAUUAAUUAUCUAAAUUUUGUACAUGUUUGAGCCUAGUAUGCUCAAUGCAGCUUUUAUCGCUUUGAUAUUUUGUGAACUGUAUGUAAACUGCCACGAAAACCUUCUUCUCUCCGAAUCUUCUAAAUCAUCUGGGAAGUGUGCACUUUGUGUAACUUUUUUCCUGUUAGUCUUAUUCUAAAUUUUAGAAUGAGGUUCGGAUAAGUUGCGAAGCCAGUGAAGCUUCUGUAUUCCCGGUACGCUACCCCCGGCUCGAGCUGUCCGCUCGAGUAAGCCAGGUCUAGAACAAUAAACUCAGGUUUUAAACAUUGUAUAACAAAACCUCAUGCCAGUCCCUAGUAGGAACGUUUGUUUGCAUCAUGUGCAUUUGACUAUGGAGACUCAACACAUGGGUUAGGUUUGUCUAGGAUAGGUGUACCUGCAAUGAAAAGACCUUCUGAUGCAUCCAACUUGCUACUUGUGCCUUUAUUGGCUUCGGGUUGCAUGUUGUCCGGCUUGUGAAUAAUAGGGAAAAGUUGGGAAAAGAAAAUAGCAAUGUGAGGGCUAAGAGAGAUAAUUACCAUUUUUGAAACACCAACGUCCAAAAGGUAUUGACUCUCAGCCGAAUUUUUGAAAACGGAGAGAAAAAAAGAAAAUCUUGUUUCCAAAAAUAGUUGGUUUUGUUUUCAUUUUGUCAAAUCUGCACGAACUACACUGGUUUGAUUCUCAUCGGAUGCGGGAUACGUAGGCAAUCCCCAUCGAGUCCAACUUUCCUUUUGCAAAAUAGCCUAAAAAGAACAAAAAAAUUUAUUUUUUAUUUCAAAUAAGAAGGGUGAUGCCAUUGUUGUUUAAAAUAAGCCGAAUGUCCUCAAAAGGGGCCAAAAGGCCAUUUUUGCAAGAACAACCACCUUUGGUCAUUUUUCUAAUUCUUGGUCGGUUAGCAAGCACAACAUUAAAAUCUUCUUUCCUAAAGUGCUGAAAGGCCAUAUUUGCAAAGCUAGGUUUUAUUUUUGAAAUGAAAAUUUUGAAAAAUAGUGUUUACCUUUUUUUGUUUUUUAGUCAAAAUGAGUUAUUAAAUUACCCUAAUAAAUGUGCAGGAUGAAUACAAAUGAAAAUGAACCCUUCGCAGCUCUUAAAGAGAUCCCCUUACAGCUCCACUAAUGGUGGAAUAAUUUGGGAAAAGGUAGUAGAGAAACUGUGGUAAAGGUUUUGGGUGGUCUUAUCGGACUUUUGAACAUCAAGCUAAGAUUGGACUGAUUGAAGCCCUGAUACCUUUCUGGGAUCCGACUCGCAAUAUAUUCCGUUUUUCUGACUUUGAG
rnacentral:lncRNA from 1 species